AGGGAUUUUCAGUAGGUGUAAUAUUAAUUAAAUUUGAAUUUUCCCGCCGUAUCACAACAGUGACGUCACUGCCACUCAAAACUGCUGGAGUUGUGAAGCUACUAUUUACCAAAUUUUAAUGAUCGCUUUAUGACUUCAACAGUAAUUGUCAACAUCAAAACAUUUGAAUUUAAUUAAUCUUUUUCUGUGGUACUUUGGCGAAUCUUCUUCGAAUCUUAUUUGCAGCUAUUUUACUCAACGACUCGUAUAGUGCUCUGCCUUCACUUUUACAUUGCGUUUCACCUUCGUGCGGCAACCGGCAUCUAAAGAGAAAACAUUGUCCUCAAUGUCGUAGAGAUUAGAAAACAAAAAUUAUUAAUUAUUUAAGAGAGUCAAAAGUGUGUAAACGAAUAUUCAUAGUGAAGAAGCAAAAAUUGAACUAUUCAAGGAUUACUGUUAUUUCCUAAAGAAGAGGAGGUUUUCUACAUUUUCGAUGCGUAUACCAGCAGUAAAGACGUCCGCCAAUGGUAUUACAAUGGUCAAUCUUGAAAACAAUUCUAUAAAGACAUAGGAAAGAAAUUCAGUUUGCAGUUGUUUCCUGAAGAAGAAGAGGUUUCCGACAUUUUCGAUGCAAACACGAGAAGAAUAGACGUCCGUCAAUUGUAGUACAAAAAUUGAAAUAAAAAUUCUCCAUGAAUUAUUAAAAAGAAUAAUUAUAAUUAUUGGCGAAUUCAAAUUAAAAUCGGUUGCGCGCCACUUCCAGUACAGUAAUGUCAGCCAAUUAACGCCUGGCGUUCUGUUUUCCACCACCUCCAGCGGAGAGCGUCACUUCAAGAAUAUUCUCAGCCUAUCAACGCCCGGCGUUCUGCGUUCCACCACCUCCAGCGUCGCGCGCAACUCCAGCGACACUUGUCGAGUCUUCAUCCAUUUAGUCCGCCAUCAGCCACGUGCCAGCAUCGUCCGGAAUUUUUGGUGAGUUUUUCUCAUUUUCUUUACCCAGAUACCAUCCCCUUUUCCAGGAAGUUAACCAUGUAAAGUUCCUUACUUAACUCUGUUAACUUCCAGUUAAAUUGCAUGAAUUUCUAUGUAUCCCACUUUUUUCUUUCCUUUGUUAAUUUUCUAGUAUUUAUCAAUUAUUUACUAGAAAAAUGCAAAGGAUUAUUUGUAAAAUAUUAAAGUUUAUGUUUUAAAGUUUGUAGUUUGAAUUUUUUUUUAAAUUAUGUAAUUAAAGUGCUUUAAAUAAUUACUAGUGAAUUUCCCCGAAAAUAAAACUAAAUUUUUGGUAAGUGGGACAUUCUACUUGAAGCGGACAACCUCGAUCCUGGUUUCUUUUUCAAUAUUAUUAUUUUUAAAUAUUAUUAAUUUAUUAAAAAUUUAGGAAUAGAAGGAAAAUGGGUAAAUAUUUUUAAUUAAAUUUUAUUUCUUUGGUGGCAUUAAAUUUAAUACAAAAUAUAAAUCUUUUUUUCCUCCAUCUUGUAAAUUUUUAAUACAUUAAUAAUAUUUAAAAAUAAUAAUAUUAAAAAGAAGCAAGAGGUGGUUAUCCUCUUCAUCUAGAAAGCCCCAAAUGUCAUUUAAUUAGUUUUAAUAUAUAAUAUUAUAUAAUAUAUAAUUUUUAAUUAUAUAUAAAAUAUUUUUACAUUUUUUUAAUUAAUAUUUUUGUAUGAAUAUUAUUAUUUACAAAAUUUUUAAAACUUCAUAUAAAUAUUGAUCAUAAAAAGAAAUUUUUUAAAAAAAUAAUUUCUUUUUAUUAUCAAUAUUAUUAAUUACUACUAUUUUUGUAUUAUUACAAUGAAAUACAUAAUUGCAUGUAUGUGACCUGUGAAGUAAAAAGGAGGAAAAUGGCGAAUAAAUUAAGUUUUUACUGAUUGGUUAUUCUGAUAGAGAAACAUUUUUUCUAUCAAAAUAACCAAUAAAUAAAAAAUUAAAUUAUUCACCAUUAUCCCCGCUUUUUACUUUGAAGGUCACAUAUAUGCAAUUAUAUACUUCAUAGUAAUAAUAAAAAAAAAUGUAAUAAUGAAUAAUACAAAAAUAUUAACUAAAUAAAUAAUGUAUAAAAUAUUAAAUAUAUAAAUAAAUAUUAUUAGAAAGUUAGUUUUAUUUUCGGGAAAAUUGAAAUGUAAAUAAACAUUUAAAGUACUCUAAGAACAUAAUUUUAAAGAAAAAUUUAAAUCUAUAGGCAAUUUUUAAAACAUAAUACUUUAAUUUUUUAGAAAUAAUCCUCUGUACUUUUCAAGUAAAUGUACAUUGAUAAGUAGUAGAAGUAAACAAAAGAAAGGAAAAAAAGAGUGGGAUAUAUAGACAUUCAUGAAAGUUAACUGGAAAAAGACAGAGUUAUAACCGGGACUGACCAUGGUUAACCGAAAGAAAAGGGAUCGGUAGAAGGGAAAGAAAGGGAAGAACUCCACCAAGAAAAAGGACAGCAUGUGCGUGGCUGAAAAUGAAGGACAACAGAGACUAGUAGACAGCAUUACAGAAAGGAAAAACAACAUAUAUAUUGAAUAAAAAUUUUAUUAAAUUAUUGAAAACAUA